CUGGAAGCACCAACUUCAGCAGGAUGGUGUCUUAUACAUCUUGGUGUGAACUUGACAAGAAGGACCAAGCCUCACUCUGUUCUUGCAAUAUGUUUGGAAAGUAACAUCUGAUCCCAGAGUAAUGUUCCUUCCCUCCCUGAACCCCACAGAAAAGUUCCAUACAGGUUUGACGAUCCACAUCUAGAGAAGAAUUUACAGGUGACAGAGAUGGGAUAUGUGCUGAGAAAAUUUGCUGAAAAGGAGUUUUGUGGAGUUCCCUGCUAUUAUGGACCCUCAGAAGUGCCACUAGUUUCCCUUCUGUCUCCUUACUUGACCAAUGGUGUGCUGUAAGGAACCUCUGUGAUUUCAUCUGUUACAUGCAAGUGGAGAGUAACCACACCCAGCAGAAUUUGCUAUUGGAGUUUAGAAGCAGGGUAAUCCUAUCACCAUGUCCUAUGGAUUCCUCUCUGAAAUCCCACAGCAACACAGGAGCUCACAUCUCAGAUAAUCUCAUAGAAGAGAUAAAGCAGCAGUUCUGAAAAAGCUUGCAGAAGAAGGAAGAGUUGCAACGAAUGACAAGGUGGGGACAUUCCCUUUGAUCCCCAGCUAUUCUAAUUCCUGUUCCAUCUCUGUGACCUGUUUUAGUGACUUGAGGGUUUUCCUGCGUUUUCACAUCGUCG
rnacentral:lncRNA from 1 species